CAGGCCUAACACAUGCAAUUCCCAACGGCAGCACAGCAGUAGCAAUACUGUUCCGUGGCGAGUGGCGGACGGGUGAGGAAUACAUGGGAAUCUACCCUGUCGUGGGGGAUAACGUAGGGAAACUUACGCUAAUACCGCAUACGACCGAGAGGUGAAAGCGGCGGACCGCAAGGCGUCGCGCGAUUGGAUGAGCCCAUGUCGGAUUAGCUAGUUGGCGGGGUAAAGGCCCACCAAGGCGACGAUCCGUAGCUGGUCUGAGAGGAUGAUCAGCCACACUGGAACUGAGACACGGUCCAGACUCCUACGGGAGGCAGCAGUGGGGAAUAUUGGACAAUGGGCGCAAGCCUGAUCCAGCCAUGCCGCGUGGGUGAAGAAGGCCUUCGGGUUGUAAAGCCCUUUUGUCCGGAAAGAAAACCAUUCGAUUAAUACUCGGGUGGAAUGACGGUACCGGAAGAAUAAGCACCGGCUAACUUCGUGCCAGCAGCCGCGGUAAUACGAAGGGUGCAAGCGUUACUCGGAAUUACUGGGCGUAAAGCGUGCGUAGGUGGUUUGUUAAGUCUGAUGUGAAAGCCCUGGGCUCAACCUGGGAAUGGCAUUGGAUACUGGCGAGCUAGAGUGCGGUAAAGGGCAGUGGAAUUCCCUGUGUAGCAGUGAAAUGCGUAGAGAUCGGGAGGAACAUCUUGUGGCGAA
rnacentral:rRNA from 1 species